AUUGAACGCUGGCGGCAGGCCUAACACAUGCAAGUCGAACGGUAACAGGGAUCAGCUUGCUGAUUCGCUGACGAGUGGCGGACGGGUGAGUAAUGUCUGGGAAACUGCCUGAUGGAGGGGGAUAACUACUGGAAACGGUAGCUAAUACCGCAUAACGUCGCAAGACCAAAGAGGGGGACCUUCGGGCCUCUUGCCAUCGGAUGUGCCCAGAUGGGAUUAGCUAGUAGGUGGGGUAACGGCUCACCUAGGCGACGAUCCCUAGCUGGUCUGAGAGGAUGACCAGCCACACUGGAACUGAGACACGGUCCAGACUCCUACGGGAGGCAGCAGUGGGGAAUAUUGCACAAUGGGAGCAAGCCUGAUGCAGCCAUGCCGCGUGUAUGAAGAAGGCCUUCGGGUUGUAAAGUACUUUCAGCGGGGAGGAAGGGAGUAAAGUUAAUACCUUUGCUCAUUGACGUUACCCGCAGAAGAAGCACCGGCUAACUCCGUG
rnacentral:rRNA from 1 species